rnacentral:rRNA from 1 species
GGGUCAAAUCAUAUCAAUACUAAUGCACCGAAUUCCAUUUGAACUUUGCAGUUAAGCGUGCUUCAACAAGAGUAAUACUAUGUUAGGUGACUUGGAAAGUUUACAUGUUCAUCACC